rnacentral:rRNA from 2 species
GAAAGCUAUUUAGGUAGCGCCUCGUGAAUUCAUCUCCGGGGGUAGAGCACUGUUUCGGCUAGGGGGCCAUCCCGGCUUACCAACCCGAUGCAAACUGCGAAUACCGGAGAAUGUUAUCACGGGAGACACACGGCGGGUGCUAACGUCCGUCGUGAAGAGGGAAACAACCCAGACCGCCAGCUAAGGUCCCAAAGUCAUGGUUAAGUGGGAAACGAUGUGGGAAGGCCCAGACAGCCAGGAUGUUGGCUUAGAAGCAGCCAUCAUUUAAAGAAAGCGUAAUAGCUCACUGGUCGAGUCGGCCUGCGCGGAAGAUGUAACGGGGCUAAACCAUG